UCUGGCCUGCAGUUAGAGGCAUCAUACUCAGCUCACACCCUCCGGUGUGUCAAUGACCUUGAAAUACAAUGCAGAGAACGUAAGAGAUUCUUCUUGACAGUGACCAUCCUCGAUCCAGAAAGCAUACUUGGAGAAUACCAAGUCCGGGUCUUUUCAUCAACUCGAGGUCAACUCAAUUUCCAUAUCAUCUGGUAAGCACCUGGCUUCCACUGGUAUAUAGGACCAAUGUGGAAACUCUUUGAGCUCAGUUCAGAGGUCUGAGUGUGACAUUUCAGCUUGCUUGGAGGACAAGGAAUAAGAGACACUGAGUUACAGUUUUAUACGCCUGUACUACAGGUCAAAGACUGAACAACAGAUGGUAUUGGAAGUGGAAAAGAAGAUCUCAUGUAGCAGUAGUUCUUGGCUCCCAGGAAAACACAAUGACAGGAAAGAGGUCAGUAGGAAACUGAAGCUGCUCAACCACAUGGAGAACAACUUGAAUUUAAACUCAAGUUGCCAAGCCCCUCUGAGGGAAGGCAGGGAAGAGACAAGCUCUCUGACAUCCAGUGGGACGCUGAACA
rnacentral:lncRNA from 1 species